GUGGGGAAUAUUGGACAAUGGGGGAAACCCUGAUCCAGCGACGCCGCGUGAGUGAAGAAGUAUUUCGGUAUGUAAAGCUCUAUCAGCAGGGAAGAUGAUGACGGUACCUGACUAAGAAGCCCCGGCUAACUACGUGCCAGCAGCCGCGGUAAUACGUAGGGGGCAAGCGUUAUCCGGAUUUACUGGGUGUAAAGGGAGUGUAGGCGGCUGUGCAAGUCAGAAGUGAAAACCCGGGGCUCAACUCCGGGACUGCUUUUGAAACUGCGUAGCUCGAGUACUGGAGAGGCAAGCGGAAUUCCUAGUGUAGCGGUGAAAUGCGUAGAUAUUAGGAAGAACACCGGUGGCGAAGGCGGCUUGCUGGACAGAGACUGACGCUGAGGCUCGAAAGCGUGGGGAGCAAACAGG
rnacentral:rRNA from 1 species